rnacentral:rRNA from 1 species
AAAUUGAAGAGUUUUAUCAUGGCUCAGAUUGAACGCUGGCGGCAGGCCUAACACAUGCAAGUCGAACGGUAACAGGAAGCAGCUUGCUGCUUCGCUGACGAGUGGCGGACGGGUGAGUAAUGUCUGGGAAACUGCCUGAUGGAGGGGGAUAACUACUGGAAACGGUGGCUAAUACCGCAUAACGUCGCAAGACCAAAGAGGGGGACCUUCGGGCCUCUUGCCAUCAGAUGUGCCCAGAUGGGAUUAGCUUGUUGGUGAGGUAACGGCUCACCAAGGCGACGAUCCCUAGCUGGUCUGAGAGGAUGACCAGCCACACUGGAACUGAGACACGGUCCAGACUCCUACGGGAGGCAGCAGUGGGGAAUAUUGCACAAUGGGCGCAAGCCUGAUGCAGCCAUGCCGCGUGUAUGAAGAAGGCCUUCGGGUUGUAAAGUACUU